AUGCACUUCAGAUCCUGUGACCACAGCCAUUCACACCCCACUGGGAUGCAGCUCAGACCCUGCGAUCACAGCCAUCUACAGCCCACUCAGACGUGGUUCAGACCCUGCGAUCACAGCCAUCCACACCCCACUGGGAUGCAGUUCAGAUCCGGUGACCACAGCCAUCCACAUCCCACUUGGACGUGGUUCGGACUCUGCGAUCACAGCUGUCCACACCCCACUGGGAUGCAGUUCAGAUCCAGUGACCACAGCCAUCCACAGCCCACUUGGACACAGCUCAGACCCUGCGAUCACAGCCGUCCACACCCCACUCGGACGCGCUUCAGACCCUGCGACCACAGCCGUCCACAGCCCACUCAGAUGCACUUCAGAUCCUGUGACCACAGCCGUUCACACCCCACUGGGAUGCAGCUCAGACCCUGCGAUCACAGCCAUCUACAACCCACUCAGAUGCGGUUCAGACCCUGCAAUCACAGUCAUCCACACCCCACUCAGACGUGCUUCAGACCCUGCGAUCACAGCCAUCCACACCCCACUUGGACGUGGUUCGGACUCUGCGAUCACAGCUGUCCACACCCCACUGGGAUGCAGUUCAGAUCCAGUGACCACAGCCAUCCACAGCCCACUUGGACACAGCUCAGACCCUGCGAUCACAGCCGUCCACACCCCACUCGGACGCAGUUCAGACCCUGUGAUCACAGCUGUCCAAAGCCCACUUGGACGUGGUUCAGACCCUGCGACCACAGCUGUCCACACCCCACUUGGACGCGGUUCGGACCCUGCGAUCACAGCUGUCCACACCCCACUCGGACGCAGUUCGGACCCUGUGAUCACAGCUGUCCACAGCCCACUUGGACGUGGUUUGGACCCUGCGACCACAGCUGUCCACACCCGACUCGGACGCAGUUCGGACCCUGUGAUCACAGCUGUCCAUCUGCAUUAGCAGAUUCUUAUGCAAGGUGUAUUUUUGCACUUGCAGCUCCGCCACUGGGCACCUUCAGGCCUGUUACAGCGACGCUGCAGCUUCCCUGCCUGGGUUGCUGGAGCAAGUGGGUUUCACCCUGGGACGGUGUGGGGUGCUGUCCCCGAGCUCCCUGCUGUCUGCAUCUCCAUGCUGCAGGGGACAGUGUUGAGAGCCAGAAAUGA
rnacentral:lncRNA from 13 species